GAUGAACGCUAGCGGUAGGCUUAACACAUGCAAGUCGAGGGGCAGCGAGGGUAGCAUUACCUGUCGGCGACCGGCGCACGGGUGAGUAACGCGUAUGUAACCUGCCCGCAACAGGGGGAUAACCCGGCGAAAGUCGGACUAAUACCGCAUAAAACAGGGGUCCCGCAUGGGAAUAUUUGUUAAAGAUGUAUCGGUUGGGGAUGGGCAUGCGUACCAUUCGGUAGUUGGUGAGGUAACGGCUCACCAAGCCUUCGAUGGAUAGGGGUUCGGAGAGGAAGGUCCCCCACACGGGUACCGAGACACGGACCACACUCCUACGGGGGGCAGCAGUGAGGAAUGUAGGUCAAGGGACGAUAGCCUGAACCAGCCAAGUCGCAUGAAGGAUGACUGCCCUAUGGGUUGUAAACUUCUUUUACAAGAGAAUAAUAUGAGGUACGUGUAUUUUAUUGAAGGUACCUUGUAAAUAAGCAUCGGCUAACUCCGUG
rnacentral:rRNA from 1 species